UAAAUUGAUUGGAACUUGUAUUUCUUUUCUUUGAUUGCUUUUUUUAUUUUUUAUAAUCCAAUAAAAGUCAAGGAAUUCUUUGUAUUGUAGCUUUACAAGAUACUGAAAGAGCACAAGAAUCCCAAGGUUCUUAGCGAGGGGCUACUGUGGAUGGUUUCAGUAGUGGAAGAUUUUGGCAUCUCACAUUUGAAACUUAAGGUUUGAAGUUAUAUUUGGGCCCUUGUUUUUUUGCUUUGUCUAACUGUUAGUUAAUAAUUACCAUAUUCAGCUAUUAAAGGAAUUGAUAUAUUUUGUUUUACAUGAUUUAAUUGAUUUUUGUAAAGAUACUGGACUGCAGUCAAGUGCAGCUGCUACUAGAAAUUCUUCCAUCAAGCUUUUGGGUGUUUUGCAUAAAUUUGUUGGCCCAGAUAUUAAAGGGUUUCUUUCUGAUGUUAAACCUGCACUUCUUAGUGCACUGGAUACAGAGUAUGAGAAGAAUCCAUUUGAGGGUGCAGCAGCAGCUCCAAAGAGAACUAUUAAAUCAGCAGAACCUAUAUCUGCAUCUUCUGGUGGACUAGAUGGCCUGCCACGGGAAGAUAUUAGUGGGAAGAUUACACGUACCCUGCUUAAAGGCUUAGAAAGUACUGAUUGGAAGGCUCGCUUGGAGUCAAUUGAAGCUGUGAAUAAAGUUUUGGAAGAGGCUAACAAGCGCGUCCAACCCAAUGGAACUGGUACAUUCUAUCAUGUGUUUAAAUUCUCUCUCCCUCUAUUGUUAUUAUUUAUUAUUGUACAUGCUAUUCAGCCUCCUUUAUAUCCUCCCAUUUGUUAAUUAUUGUUUAAUGUUUAUUUU